rnacentral:rRNA from 1 species
UACGAAGGGGGCUAGCGUUGCUCGGAAUCACUGGGCGUAAAGCGCACGUAGGCGGCUUUUUAAGUCAGGGGUGAAAUCCUGGAGCUCAACUCCAGAACUGCCUUUGAUACUGAGGAGCUCGAGUCCGGGAGAGGUGAGUGGAACUCCGAGUGUAGAGGUGAAAUUCGUAGAUAUUCGCAAGAACACCAGUGGCGAAGGCGGACUCACUGGCCCGGUAUGACGCUGAGGUGCGAAAGCGUGGGGAGCA